rnacentral:rRNA from 1 species
GACCUCGGAUCAGGUAGGGAUACCCGCUGAACUUAAGCAUAUCAAUAAGCGGAGGAAAAGAAACCAACAGGGAUUGCCUCAGUAACGGCGAGUGAAGCGGCAACAGCUCAAAUUUGAAAUCUGGCUCUUUUAGGGUCCGAGUUGUAAUUUGUAGAGGAUGCUUCGGGUGCGGCCCAGUCUAAGUUCCUUGGAACAGGACGUCAUAGAGGGUGAGAAUCCCGUAUGUGAUUGGACGCCAACCCCAUGUGAAGCGCCUUCAACGAGUCGAGUUGUUUGGGAAUGCAGCUCUAAAUGGGUGGUAAAUUUCAUCUAAAGCUAAAUAUUGGCCGGAGACCGAUAGCGCACAAGUAGAGUGAUCGAAAGAUGAAAAGCACUUUGGAAAGAGAGUUAAACAGUACGUGAAAUUGUUGAAAGGGAAGCGC